rnacentral:rRNA from 1 species
CCUACGGGGGGCAGCAGUGGGGAAUAUUGCACAAUGGGGGAAACCCUGAUGCAGCAACGCCGCGUGAGUGAAGAAGUAUUUCGGUAUGUAAAGCUCUAUCAGCAGGGAAGAAAAUGACAGUACCUGAAGAAGAAGCCCCGGCUAACUACGUGCCAGCAGCCGCGGUAAUACGUAGGGGGCAAGCGUUAUCCGGAUUUACUGGGUGUAAAGGGGGCGCAGACGGCGAUGCAAGCCAGGAGUGAAAGCCCGGGGCCCAACCCUGGGACUGCUCUUGGAACUGCGUGGCUAGAGUUCAGGAGGGGCAG